GCACUACUGAAGAAUCCCAAACUAGGACGAAACGGUUGUCCAGUAC
rfam:Trichobilharzia regenti genome assembly, scaffold: TRE_contig0010790